rnacentral:rRNA from 1 species
CCUACGGGAGGCAGCAGUGAGGAAUAUUGGUCAAUGGACGAGAGUCUGAACCAGCCAAGUAGCGUGCAGGAUGACGGCCCUAUGGGUUGUAAACUGCUUUUAUAAGGGAAUAAAGUUAGUCUCGUGAGAUUUUUUUGCAUGUACCUUAUGAAUAAGGACCGGCUAAUUCCGUGC